UUAGGAAGCUUAAAAGUUUACUUGAUCUUUACUUUAAUAUUUUUUUUGUAAAAUCUUUCACAGAUUUUUCUUGGAAGUUCUCGGGGAAACUCUUGGGUGCUGGUUAACCGCCUUAAUCUAAGCACCAGUACUAUUUUUGAACACUUUACUGAAGUUAACGUGGAUGAAACAGCGAGCUUUACUAUACCAAAUCAUUUUAUAUAUGAGAAGAACGUUUUGAAAAAUUUAAAACUGUACUCUAAUGAAAAACUUUCCAGAGACGUUAGCUGGCUUCUUAAUAAGCGCUGCAGCACGACUGUGCAGCCCAAACACUCGGUCAGCCCUUUCGAUCACUUCAAUCUGGUUGCCGUACCAGUGGCAGUUAUCGCUGGCUCUCGCCCGGCUUAUUUGCUGCGUUGCCUUUACCACCUAGUCCAGCUUCCAUUAGACAAUAUUAUCCUUUCUAAUGUUUUUGUUUUGGCGGACGGCUUCGAUCAUGAAUCCUUACUCAUAUCGGUCAUUUUUGGGGUUAAAGUUGUUUUUUUUUCCGAAAAGCUACUCUUCUUUUCGAGGGGAGCGCAACUUUAUCGUAGCCGACAAAAUUGCAGUGCACUAUCGACGUUCCUUUAAUUAUUUGUUCUCUAAUAAAGCGGUCCACUCUUCAAUAACACUGGAAGCGGUUUCAGUGUUGCUCUGACUUUUUGUCAUAUUUUUCACAACUUCUGCCUCUUCUUAAAGAAGAUUCUCCUCUUUAUUGCAUAUCUGCUUGGAACGAUAACGCUUAUGUACACACAUCUUAAGACCCAGAAAAACUAUACCGUACCAAUUUUUUCCCCGGAUUGGGAUGGCUGCUUACAAGGAGACUGUGGAACACUAUAAAAAAAAGUUGGCCGCAGUGUUGCUGGGGCACGUCUUGGGAUUUAUGGCUUCGUUCCGUAAUAAAGAAAGGCAACACCUAUGCGGCCCCGCUUUUUGGUUUUAGUGUUAAAGUCUUUUGGUUGUACAAACCAGUAAAAAAAAUUAUUAAAAAUGCAGGGGAAAAUAGAUUUCAAGAUGACUAAUAUUUUUAUGUUAAUAGUUCUAUAUCAUAAUCACUUCUGUACAGACAAGGAGUGUAUUAUCCCCGACGUGCCACAGACUUUUCAUUUCGGAAGGAAAGGGAAACAUGUGCUUCAGGGGCAAAUGUGGAUAACGACUAUUUCUACGCUAUUUACUUCCGAACGCACGCGUUAAAUACCCUUACCAACGUAAAAUUAAGAUCUGUACGAGCACGACUCCACGUUUCUCAAGAAGCGCCGUUCAUAUCAAUCGAGCAGAAUGCCCUUGCUUAAUUGGCUAUGACGAAUAUGUGCCGAACACGACACCUAUUCCUUAUUCUUCUUUCAUAAACUUGACGUAUUAUCCUUCUUAAGGGCAAAAGUAUGUAAUAUGGUACUCCCAAAGGUCAGAUAAAGGAGCGAUAGAUACAGGAUAUUUGAAAGAACUACUGGAAUGUUGGGGCAUGUGGGACUUAGACAAAGAAUUUAUGAAAAUGUAAAAGUAACAAUUGUUUACAAAAAGUUUUUUCUAAUGUCCGCGGCUUGCAUCAUGGGAUCCUCACUUUUCACAUUAAAGGCAACUUAAUAAUGGUCAUUGGGGAUCACACCUCCUAUGCUAGAACGCACAUGCCGUCCGGUGUCAUUUCUGUUCGUCCUAAACCACGAGGACGGC